ACGAACGCUGGCGGCUGCUUAACACAUGCAAGUCGAACGGAGUGGCGAACGGGAGAGUAACGCGUGAGCAACCUGCCUAUGACAGUGGGAUAGCCUCGGGAAACCGGGAUUAAUACCGCAUAGUCAUAGAUGGGCUCGCGUCUGAUUAGCUAGUUGGGGAGAUAACAGCCCCCCAAGGCGACGAUCAGUAGCCUGUCUGAGAGGCUGAACGGCUACAUUGGAACGGGUACACGUUCCAAACUCCUACGGGAGGCAGCAGUGGGGAAUAUUGCACAAGGGGGUAAACCCUGAUGCAGCGACGCCGCGUGAACGAAGAAGGUAUUCGUAUCGUAAAGUUCUGUCCUAUGGGAAGCAGUACCAUAGAAGAAAGCUCCGGCUAAAUCCGUGCCAGCAGCCGCGGUAAUAC
rnacentral:rRNA from 1 species